AUUAAAAAUUAUAUAAUUGUCCCGAAUAAACAGGUGUCAUGGAUGCAAAGAGCUAUUGGAGAAACAGUUAUUUUAACUAAAUAUAAAUCUUUGUAAGAUCUAGUUCAAAUAUUUAUAGUUUUUCACUAGCUUUCCAUCAUGAUAUAAUUAACGAGACGUUUUUUUCAAACACAACCAAAUCACCCACCAUGACAGCAGUUUGUCCAAUCACAGAAAGGA
rnacentral:lncRNA from 1 species